UAAUAGCGUAUAUUAAAGUUGCUGCAGUUAAAAAGCUCGUAGUUGGAUUUCGGGUGGGAAUGGCCGGUCCGCCGUUUCGGUGUGCACUUGCUACGCCCACCUUGCUGCCGGGGACGUGCUCUUGAGUUCACGCUCGGGACACGGAGUCGGCGAGGUUACUUUGAGUAAAUUAGAGUGUUCAAAGCAGGCCUACGCUCUGAAUACAUUAGCAUGGAAUAACACGAUAGGACUCUGGCCUAUCUUGUUGGUCUGUAGGACCGGAGUAAUGAUUAAGAGGGACAGUCGGGGGCAUUCGUAUUUCAUUGUCAGAGGUGAAAUUCUUGGAUUUAUGAAAGACGAACUACUGCGAAAGCAUUUGCCAAGGAUGUUUUCAUUAA
rnacentral:rRNA from 1 species